rnacentral:rRNA from 1 species
CACCGGCGGCGCGAGUGGUGGCCACUUUUAUUGGGUCUAAAGCGGCCGUAGCCGGCUUGGCAAGUCCCCUGGGAAAUCUGGCGGCUUAACCGUCAGGCGUCCAGAGGAUACUGCCAGGCUUGGGACCGGGAGAGGUGAGAGGUACCUCAGGGGUAGGGGUGAAAUCUUGUGAUCCCUGAGGGACCACCAGUGGCGAAGGCGUCUCACUAGAACGGGUCCGACGGUCAGGGACGAAAGCUGGGGGCACGAACCGG